UCAGACAUAACAAAAGGAACAAGGUGGUGCUCCAAUGGCCUACCUCCUGCCUUUCUUCACUUCUUACAGAUCCUGCCACCUUUUCAACCUCUCCACACUGGCACUAACUGACACCAGGAGGUGUUGCUGACCUUCUAGGAAUGAGGCGCCAAGCUAGCCUUCAGGUUUAUAGAUCACUUCCUAGAGAGUGGUGAGGUGCUAUAUCCCAUGACAUCAGGCACACUGUUCCCCUUGCCUUGGGCAGAACCUUCCUUCCAGUGAGUACAGCAUGAAGACAUGGCAGCAAUAUAUUGCGUGAUUUAUUGAAGUUUCUUUGGACUUUAACUCUUUUGUUGCUAGGCAUUUUUAGAGAUGGGGUUCUCAUUAGAUAGCCCAGGCUGGCUUAGAACGUCCUCUGUAACUUGGGCUAGCCAUGCCUCAGUCCCUCCCCUCAAGUUCUGAUAUACAUAUAAACACCACCUUUGUUAUCUUUGAGUGCUCUGUAUGCCUGUAUGCCUGUAUGCCUAUAGAGCAUUACAGAUGGCUGUGAGUCACCCUACGCUUACCAGGAAUUGAACUCAGGACCUCUGGAAGAGCAGCCAGUGCUCUUUCACAUACACAUCUCAUACAAACGAGACGUCUACAUAGAAGUGAUCACAGUGUUUGGAAAAGAAAGCAAAGAGAACCGAAGAAAAUGUACUCAAAAGGAAAUGGGGCAGAAUCUCUUAAAAGUGUGUGUUUGAUAGACUGUGCUCGACUGUACCUCGGAGCAGAAGAAGCAAGCAGCC
rnacentral:lncRNA from 1 species